rnacentral:lncRNA from 1 species
UUCCUAUUUUUAUCGGGUUUGUUCGAAAUGAUUUUAGUUUUUUUUAAUGUUUUAAAAAAUAUAAUUUAUGUUCAAUUUAGUUUUUUUUUUUGCAAAUCAUACUUAAAUUGUUAAUGAUUCGUUUAUUCAAAACCUAAAUGAGAUAACUUUUAACUACUGUCACGUUAUUAUCUUCUUCAACCUUCAACCCAAACAUAAACUGAAAUCUUAAUUUCUCUCUAGCCAUCUAACCACAGUGCCACCACACUUAAACCUUCAGGCCGGCCGCCACCGCAAUCACAACAGAUCUGCAAACGUAACCCAAAAAACCAUCACCAGGACGCUGCGACCACCUCCACGCACCACCAUCUUCAUCGCUUGCCUUCACCAUCAUCUUCUUCCUCCCAGUUCGCACUGCCACUAUAGCGCCACCAACACUAUGCCUUCGUGCCAUCAUCCUCUCCUUCCACCAUCAACCUCAUGUCUGCCGCUGCAAAGCGCACUCCCACCAGCAUCAACUGUACCGGAAACCUGCAUCAAAUCCAAUCUAGAAAACCCACAAAAACCCAGAAACAACACCACCGUGCGAUGUCUUCGCAAGUUCAUCUUUCUCCAUUGAUGCAGCCUAGCACUUCGAAACCCUCAACCCAAUCGCUCUAAGAACCACCAUAUUUGCAAACCUGCUUCUCCCUCGUGCUUUCAUCAACAUGUAAGAAAGCACAACUAGUCAAAUAAUUCCUAAAUUAGAAAC